GGGGUGGUAGCUCAGCUGGUUAGAGCCGUCGACUCAUAAUCGAUUGGUCGCGGGUUCAAGUCCCGCCCACCCUA
rnacentral:tRNA from 1 species